rnacentral:lncRNA from 1 species
GUUGAAUAAAAUGUACAUGGUUGGAUCCAAACUGUCUAAAUACUCACAGCUUUAAAGAGAAAUCAGCAUGUAUCUGGCACACCAAUGAAUACUGUGUUCUUCAGAGCUCAUGCUGAACUGUGUACAUUGAAGGGUCUCCCUAAAGGAAACUUUGAGACCCUUCUGUAGGCUGACCCUUCUUAGAUGGAGCUCGGCCUUCAUUUUGGAAUGCUCCGCCAUCUGAGUGCUUUAAAAAUUAAGGUGGCUUUGAGGAUCCUCUCACUUCACAGUGUGGGGAGCCAUGGCAAGCCUAGGCUUGACUCCCUUCCUGGAUGGAACUCGUACCUCAGAACUGUUGCCUCUGUGUUGUUCCAGUCAUGAUCCCCAAAGCAUGAUUCCUGAUUUGGAGGCCAAGAAAGUACAGCCUGUCUUAGCAUGUGAUCUUAUGUAAGGCACUGUGUGUCGAGCUGGCAGGAAACAAACAUCUCUCCAGCCCCCUGUUUUCAGAGACGGGUCGGAAAAUAUUUCAGCUGCUUGGUAUCAGCCUGCUGUGGUCAGUUAUCAGUGUGGUCCAGAAGGACAGGACAGCGCACCAUUCAUGGUCUGUCAGAGCUGCUCCUAGAUGGGCGGAUGGCGUCAUGACCAAAUCUCGCCUGCAUGUUUUUCAUUUCCAGUUAAGCAUGCAUGUUGGUCCUCUGGGAGCAUGGCGGACGAGAAGCCCCAGCGACCGCUUGAAGCUCUGCCCUCUGUUCAUCGCUAGACCUCUCUGCUUCAUUAUCAGCCCAUGCUGUUUGUGCUGGGAUUGCCUAUGACCUCUCUGAUUGCCUGAGGCCCCUGUUGUCUAUUUGCUGCUCUUCCUUCCCAGCAACCAGUGGUUAUGUUAAAGGAAUUCAAAUGAUUGCUCGUCAUAAUAAACAUCCU